rnacentral:rRNA from 1 species
GGGUAUUUUAUAUACAAUAGCGGAGGAAAAGAAACCAACAGGGAUUGCCCCAGUAACGGCGAGUGAAGCGGCAACAGCUCAAAUUUGAAAUCUGGCCCUAGGCCCGAGUUGUAAUUUGCAGAGGAUGCUUCGGGCGCGGCGCCUUCCAAGUCCCCUGGAACGGGGCGCCAGAGAGGGUGAGAGCCCCGUACUGUCGGACGCCAAGCCUAUGUGAAGCUCCUUCGACGAGUCGAGUAGUUUGGGAAUGCUGCUCAAAAUGGGAGGUAGACCCCUUCUAAAGCUAAAUACCGGCCAGAGACCGAUAGCGCACAAGUAGAGUGAUCGAAAGAUGAAAAGCACUUUGAAAAGAGGGUUAAACAGCACGUGAAAUUGUUGAAAGGGAAGCGCUCGUGACCAGACUUGCGCCGGGGCGAUCAGCUGGCGUUCUCGCCAGUGCACUCGCCCCGGCUCAGGCCAGCGUCGGUUCGCGUGGGGGGAUAAAGGCGCUGGGAAUGUGGCUCCCCCGGGAGUGUUAUAGCCCAGCACGUCAUGCCCCCGCGCGGACCGAGGUUCGCGCUCUGCAAGGACGCUGGCGUAAUGGUUACUAGCGACCCGUCUUGAAACACGGACCAAGGAGUCGAGGUUCUGCGCGAGUGUUUGGGUGUCAAACCCGCACGCGUAAUGAAAGUGAACGUAGGUGGGAGCUUCGGCGCACCACCGACCGAUCCUGAUGUUCUCGGAUGGAUUUGAGUAGGAGCGUGGGGCCUCGGACCCGAAAGAUGGUGAACUAUGCUUGGAUAGGGUGAAGUCAGAGGAAACUCUGAUGGAGGCUCGCAGCGGUUCUGACGUGCAAAUCGAUCGUCAAAUCUGAGCAUGGGGGCGAAAGACUAAUCGAACCAUCUAGUAGCUGGUACGCAAGAUUUUCUCUCCCAGAGAAAAAAAGAAAAAUA